AUCAGUUCCUCUCUCACUCUUUCUCUGCUCUCACUCUCUUUCUCUUCCUCUCUCGGUGCCGGCGGCAUUGGCAGGACCGCAGGACAGCGGGUGAGUGGCGACGCCGGCGAGCGCCGAGCGGCAGCAACCACCGGGCCUGGGAGGCUGGAGCGAGGCCGAGGCGGGGUCGCGGGUCCGCAGGACGGCGGGAGCCGCCAGCCGGGAGCAGCCGAGGCCACCGAGCGGGGAGCUGGGGGGUCGGCGACGACGGUCGUCGGGGACGGGGAGCCGGCCGACUGGCCGAGCCGCCGCUGCGCCGGGCGCGCGCGGUAGAGCCGGCGUCCGACGACGACGAGCCGAGCGAGGCAGCGUCGCAGCGAGCGUGUUAGCGGGAGCCGGGAGGGGGCGCCGGGGACUGGACCAUCGGCGGCCGAGGCGGCGGCGCCGGCGUCACGGGCCCGCGGUGAGGCGAGCUGCAGGCUGCAGCCGGCCGGCGUGCGGCGUCCACUACUCCACUGUCCUGUCUGUCCAGACAGCCAGAUUGCAGGGGUAGCAACUCAGCAAGUGAGAUGUGGGGAUGGCAAAGUCAGGAGUAUGAUCUGCAGAAAGAUUUGCUAGCUGCAGACUUUGCAGAUCCAUCUAGCUGUUUGUGGAGUGAAACAAGUCAUAAUGUGGGUGAUGCUUGGAGCAUGUUCGAUGAGCAAACUCCAAUAUAACAUUGUACAGACAUAGAUUUUCAGUUCUGUGAUAUAGGAGGUGCAAGAGAAGAAAGUAAAACAAGUUUCAGUUAUAAAUUUGGACAAUUCUCGGAGUGUAGGGGCUGGUAGCACUUCUAGUUCAAGUACUAGUAGUUCUAGGGCAGUAUGUAGCUGCAAGCAUAUGUUUCUUCAAUCUCUGUUGUCUGUUCAUUUGGAUUUACUUUCUCAUUGUCAUGGAUACAUGGGACUUGUUAAUGUUAUUAGGUUUGAAUCUGAGAUGUAUGAAAAAUUGGAUUGAAUUUGGUGAGCUCAAAUUUGGGUCUGUUUAGUGGGAUUUGAUUUGAUUGACAAAAUGUGUCAGUUC